rnacentral:misc_RNA from 1 species
CUGCAGUGCUGCCGCUGCUGCCUGAGCAGCUCGACGGCUGCUUGUCACUGCUAGAUUUUAAAAGAAACACUUUUAUGCAGAGCACAUAAAGAGUGCGUACCGUCGCACUGUGUCAUGAGCUUCGGCUCAGGAAUCUUCGCUGGCAUCGUUAUCGCUGGCUAGCCAAGGUGUGGAGGCUUCGGUGGAUGAGAUGCCGCCGACUUCCACGAGGCCCACGGUAGCUGGGGGCCGCCGUGUGUACCACUUGGGUAACGCAGUCCUCUCUGCCGUUGUGUUCGUGAUCACCCUAGUGCUGUCGAUGGUCAUGCUUGAUCCCCAGCGCAACAGUCACUUGCUCUCUGCGCGGCGUCGCACCCCUCCGAUCGAUUUCACGGACAGCGUGCUGGCCGGGGGUUUCACUCCUGUCGUCGUCAGCGUGAACAAACACACGGUGCUUGUCGUGCCAGCAGCACCCAUCCACGGCACCAGGUACGUAUCCAGGUCCCUGGACAGUUUCUUCUCGGUCGGGCUCGGCUCUGCCAACGGCACUAGUUCCGCGGGAUAUCAUGAGGAGGCAGAAAGGCGCUCGCAGGGGGCAAUCACACUGUCGGACGUCUACAGCGCCGUACUACUGCACGAAGGAGUGGCCGAUGCUACACAGGCGCCUGACGAGACCGCUGAGACAGUGGAGACUUUCCCCCUGUCAUCGCGCCGACCUUCCGUGUUGCACCUCUGCAGCGCCCUGUCGUGUGUGACGCCGUACGUCGCUCAGCAGUGGUCUGAUCGAGCGGCGGCGGCACUACUACUGGCUAAUAAAACCAAAGACGGCGCUACCGCCGAUCGCUCGCGGGCUCGUCUGGUGGCUAACUUUGCUCUCGUCUUCGGCGAAGCGAGCGAGUCGCUCGCGGUGAUGCGGGAGCUCGGGGAGCACCGCGUAUUAACUGCCCAGAUUCCGGUCGCGCACUCGGAUCAUCCUCAGUCAGCCAUGCCGCUUGUCGGGAAGCUGGAGUUGGCCGAUUUGCAGGCCUCGUGUAGCUCACUCAAGCAGUGCAGCUACCGCUCCCCUGUCAAACACGCUCAACUCGAGACGCUUCUAAAAGCGCAAGCACAGCAGCUGCCCGCAGAAGCUUCCAGGAAACGCUUGUUCAAGGAAUGGGUGCGGCGGAACGACUCUCACUCGGGAGCCUUGGCCUGGGGUGCCGUCGAUGUGCUCCCCUUCACCUUCGUGACCUUUGGGAAGUCGAACACGCUGCAUGGCUUUCCGCUGGACUUGGUACACGUGGACGUAGGCAGCGGCGACAGCGUGGCGGCUCUCGCAUACCUCGACGCACUUGCCUCUGACACGGCGAUGACGGAAAAUCUGAAGCCAAGAAACCUGCUCGUUUCGGUCUUUGCCUCAGAGUGGGUGAAUACCAUAGUGGAGACGUUGCUGCUGCUCGAGGUGGGGCAGCGGUACAGCGCGAUUCCGCUGCACGACUCGUGCGUGGGACUCGAACGGCAUUUCACUCCUCGUCAGCGGUGGAGCCUGUCGCACAUGCUUUCGUGGAUGGGCAAACAAGCGCUAGAGGGAACAUAUCUUAGCCCCUCUCUCGAGCGGAGUCGUGCUGCACAGAUACCGUUGUGCACUGUGUUGCUAUCGCGUCAAGUGAACACUCUUGACGAGCUCCUCCAGAUGGCAUCGAAGGCAAUCGACUCUUAUCCGCCUGCCGCCUCACCUGUGGAGCGCUUUUUUUACUAUUCCCUGGGUCUCUCGCCCAAGGACGAAGAACUUCUCACGCCGCUGCCGGAGGCGGCAUCGGGUGCCAAGGCGUUUGCCCUGCCUAGCACGCCCGAUGUCGCGCGUGAGGUGAUUGGCUUUCUUGUGCAGUACAUCUAUUUCUUAAUCCCGAUUGGCGUGGGGUUUUCUCUGACGCGCAACCUUUGUCGCCGUCGUGGAGUGUGCGGAUGACGUCGUUACGGGGCCGCUUCGGGGAGAGCAAGAGCUGACGUGUGGGUGGGUGAGGGGAGUGUGGCGGAGCUGAGAUGGGUGCGCCGGUAAGGACGGAGACGCGGAUAAAGGGGGACAAGGCUGGAGGGCAAAGGGCAAUGUGGGCAAGGUGGCAAAACGCCUUGGUGGGCCACUGCUUGUCACCGCUCUGGACCUCCCGUAAGCCGCUUCUGUCCCCUGUCUGGAGGCCCGACCGCAGCAGCACCAGUGGCGACGCUGGCAAAAUGCAGUCGCGCGAAAAAAAAAUGGCGGGCAAGGCUUCUCCAGCCUCUGCUCAAUAGUGGCUCUAUGUCGCGGUUUCGCAGGCUGACGGCAGUCAUCCGCCAUUCCCUGCGCCGACGAGACCAACAGAGUCUCCAGUGCCGGCCUGGAAGCCGCUGUGCGCGAGGGUGCUCGCUGUGCAUUACGUGUCGGCACUGCCAAGAAC